rnacentral:rRNA from 1 species
UUUGAUCCUGGCUCAGGACGAACGCUGGCGGCGUGCCUAACACAUGCAAGUCGAACGGACUGGUGUCCUUCGGGACACUAAGUUAGUGGCGAACGGGUGAGUAACGCGUGGGUAACCUGCCCUUAUAUCGGGGAUAACUGCCGAAAGGUGAGCUAAUACCGGAUAACCUAUCGAGAUUGCAUAAUUUUGAUAGCAAAGGCGGCCUCUAUUUAUAAGCUGCCGUAUAAGGAUGGACCCGCGUCAGAUUAGCUAGUUGGUGAGGUAACGGCUCACCAAGGCGACGAUCAGUAGCCGGCCUGAGAGGGUGAACGGCCACACUGGGACUGAGACACGGCCCAGACUCCUACGGGAGGCAGCAGUGGGGAAUCUUCCGCAAUGGACGAAAGUCUGACGGAGCAACGCCGCGUGAGUGAAGAAGGUCUUCGGAUUGUAAAACUCUGUUUUUUGGGAAGAACGGUCUCUAUGUGAAUAAUGUAGAGAAUUGACGGUACCAAAGGAGGAAGCCCCGGCUAACUAACGUGCCAGCAGCCGCGGUAAUACGUAGGGGGCAAGCGUUGUCCGGAAUUAUUGGGCGUAAAGAGCGCGCAGGCGGUUUGUUAAGUCUACCGUGAAAGCUUACGGCUCAACCGUAACAGGCCGGUGGUUACUGACAGACUUGAGGGCAGGAGAGGAAAGUGGAAUUCCCAGUGUAGCGGUGAAAUGCGUAGAGAUUGGGAGGAACACCAGUGGCGAAGGCGACUUUCUGGACUGUUACUGACGCUGAGGCGCGAAAGCUGGGGGAGUGAACGGGAUUAGAUACCCCGGUAAUCCCAGCCGUAAACGAUGGGUACUAGGUGUAGGAGGUAUCGACCCCUUCUGUGCGGAGUUAACGCAAUAAGUACCCCGCCUGGGGAGUACGGUCGCAAGACUGAAACUCAAAGGAAUUGACGGGGGCCCGCACAAGCGGUGGAGCAUGUGGUUUAAUUCGACGCAACGCGAAGAACCUUACCAGGGCUUGACAUCGUACGAAAGGCUUAGAGAUAAGUUCCCCUCUUCGGAGGCGUAUAGACAGGUGGUGCAU